GGGACAAUUUCCUUUAGGCUGGUCAGGGAAGGCUUCUCUAAGGAUGUGGGGAUGUGAGAUGAGAGGGAGGAAUGAGAAGUGUUGAUAUCUGUAAUGGAACAUUCCCUUCACGUCCCAGGAGCAGGGAGGAAGCUGGCCUUAUUCAGGUGGAAUGAAGGGCAGGUGGAGUGGUCAGAGGCUCCUGAGGCAACAGGAAGGUCGUAAGUAAGGAGUCGAGAUUGUAUUUUGAGCUAUGGAAGAGUGCCACUCGAGUGUUUGGUAAUGAAGUUAAAUUAUCAUAUUGAUAUUUAAAAGACUUCUUCUGGUUGCUGUGAGGAAACUCCAGUGUAAAGACAAAAGUGAAAGCAGUGAGUCCAGUCAAGGUACGUACGAGAUGAUGGCUACUGGACAGCGGAUGAGAGGCUGGAGUAUUGAGAAACGGUACAUUUGUAUGGAAGAGCUACCCAGUUAUAGCACCUUCUACAAUAUCAGAUAUACCCGUAUGACAGCAUGUUACUAGGUGUCUACUGGACCAUAUGUAACACGUCUCAGACUUUUAUCGACAGUAGAUUGAAUUGUCUCCAUUGAUCAAAUUCAAGAGUGAAAUUCCACAGAAUUGAGGAAACUACUCAUGAGAGAUUCUGUUCAACACGCACAUCACUGGAUUCAUCUACCAAACAUAUGAAUAUAAUUGUAUCUAUUUAUAAGAACAAAGCUUCUACUUGAGGAAGUGGUCUGGUUUUGAAAAAUAUCUCCCAAUCACCAGCUUAUUCCAUAACUAGAAUGAAGUGACAAAACCGAAGCAUGGGGGAAAAAAGAAAAACAACUAAGUGCCAUGCUCAUCAAAAUUAAUAUGGGAAAACCCAUCCAAUAUUUGUAACCAAUAAAC
rnacentral:lncRNA from 1 species